rnacentral:lncRNA from 1 species
GCCCCGUCCCUCUGGGCACCAAGGAGCUUUCCCGGGAAGCGGGGACGGAAGCCGACUGGAGGGAGGAAGGACGAGGGGCGGAGGGCCCUGAAGUGGGGCAGGGCCUGGAGGGCUCCCACUGUGCCUGGCCACUACUAUUUGCAGGGUGGGGAUGGGGCCGGGACUUAGCUGCAGCAGUUCUGAAAAUACGAAUGGACCACAGCGGCUGAAGGGACAGUCGGUGGCAGACUGGAAUCUGGAAUGUGGAAGGCUGGCUCUCAUAAAUGAUUGUGUGAUCCCAGAGUUUCCCCGGAUCAUCUUCAGCCUGGAAUUCAGAACCAUAAAUAUUGAGCUGGAAGGACCUGCUGGGAUCACCCGGCCCCAGAUGUGGUGGCAGGGAUGUCACUGUGCAGUAAGAGGGGAUAAUGGCACUUGUUAUUAUAAAAGCUCGAACUGGGGCCCAGAAAGGGACAGCAACUGGCCAAGACACACAGCACGCUGGUCGGGGGCCCUGGACCAGCGCUGUCAUCGUUCCUGUGCGCACAGACCUCGGCCGGGUUCCGUGACUCCGCUCCGCUUUCUCACCCUUACAACUUCCAGGUGAGCAAGACAGGAACAGGCUGUGUUGCUGCAUUUCUGACAUAAAAAGAAACAUGCUUUUAAGGAUAUUUAAGUCUCUUCAGAUGGUGACUCCUGCAGCCUGGAUGAAAGCGCCUUGAUUUCCUCCCAGGGAGGGUGUCUGUGCAUACCUGGGAUCGUACCCUUUCCUUUUGAUCCUGCCUCUUAGUGAGUCCCCUUUUGAGAUCAAAGCUGGCAAGGUGGACAGGCCCCUUUGAAGUUUCCUGGCGCUUCUGAGACGCAGGUCCUGGCAGCCACAGAGUUUUGCUCCAAAUGAAGAGGUUGGCGGGUGGAGCCCCAAGGGCUCUGAGCAGGGCUCUUACCUUUAAAAUAUUCCUCCUUGGAAGCACGCAUUUUCCAUGCCUGGAAUGACCACGUGGAGGGGGCGCGUGUGGGGUCUGCUUGUCCACCCCUCACUCCCCAAAUUUCCUCUGAAAAUGACCCUCUCCCCAGUCCAGUGAUCCUGUUGGGACUGUAAGUAUGGCAGUGGACAUAUGACCCACGCCAGCCAAUCAGCAUCAUCCAGCCUCUGGACCAUGACUAGCCCAAAGAUGAACAUAUGAUCCAGACCAGCCAGUCAGGACUGCCUAGCCUUUGAGAUAUUGACUAGCAUGAGAUGGGCACAUGAUCCAGACCAGCCAAUCAGGACUGCCCAGUCUCUGAAACAUUGACCAGCCCAGAGAUGGACAAAUAACACAAGCCACCAACCUGAGUCCUGUGGGCAAUUUAGUUUAUUGAAAAGAAGGUUGCUUUAUGCCUGGAGCUUUUUACGGCUAUUUUUCUUCACCUGGAGAGACAGUCUACCUGUGAGUAAUGCUACACAAGGGAAAGCAGAGCAGAGAGGGAGAGAGGGGUGCUUCUAAUAACUUUGUCUAACCUCCUGGAUCCAGCUAUGCCUGAAGCUCAUCCACCUUACAUUUUCCAAUUCUAUGAUUUAAUCGGUCAUCUUAUUUCUUUGGGCAAGGUGUCUGUCACUUCCAUAUAAG